rnacentral:misc_RNA from 1 species
AGAUGAAGAACGCAGCGAAAUGCGAUAAGUAAUGUGAAUUGCAGAAUUCAGUGAAUCAUCGAAUCUUUGAACGCACAUUGCGCCCGCCAGUAUUCUGGCGGGCAUGCCUGUUCGAGCGUCAUUUCAACCCUCAAGACCCCUUCGGGGGACUUGGUGUUGGGGACCGGCACAGGGGCCUGCCUGCUUGUCUUGCAGCGCCCUCGCCGCCCCCGAAAUGAAUUGGCGGCCUCGUCGCGGCCUCCCCUGCGUAGUAGCACAACCUCGCAACGGGAACGUGACGGCGGCCACUGCCGUAAAACAACCCCAAUUUUAUUAGAGUUGACCUCGAAUCAGGUAGGAAUACCCGCUGAACUUAAGCAUAUCAAUAAGCGGAGGA